rnacentral:antisense_RNA from 1 species
CACACCUUGAUCCUACCUCACGCGCUACAAAAAAUUAGUCAAAGUAGAUCACAGACCUACAUAAAAAACAAUAAAGAAUCUAGAAGGAAACAUAGGAGAAAAGAUUCAUUUUCUUGGUCCAGGCAAAUAAUUCUUAAACAGGUGUCAGAUCUCAAGUUGAUCUUUAUGCUCAUUAAAGAUUAAGCAGUAAUCUUGUUUUUUUUUUUUUUUGACACGGAGUCUCACUCUGUUGCCCAGGCUGGAGUGCAGUGGCAUGAUCAUUGUUCACUGCAGCCUCAAACUCCUGAGUAGCUGGGACCACAGGUAUGCACCAUCACACCCAGCUACAACAUUCGGUUUUGAGCAAAUAUUGAUCAAUGAGUCCAACAGUC